GCUCCUAUGGCUCAUUGGCAGAGCUUCAGUCUUGGAAACUGAAGGUCCGUAGUUCGAUUCUGCGUGGGGGCA